ACGGGGUGCAGCAGGCGCGAAAACUUUACAAUGCGGGAAACCGCGAUAAGGGGAUACCGAGUGCCAGCAUAUUAUGUUGGCUGUCCACAUGUGUAAACGGCAUGUGUUAGCAAGGGCCGGGCAAGACCGGUGCCAGCCGCCGCGGUAACACCGGCGGCCCGAGUGGUAAUCACUUUUAUUGGGUCUAAAGGGUCCGUAGCCGGUUUGAUCAGUUCUUCGGGAAAUCUGACAGCUCAACUGUUAGGCUUCCGGGGAAUACUGUCAGACUUGGGACCGGGAGAGGUAAGAGGUACUACAGGGGUAGGAGUGAAAUCUUGUAAUCCCUGUGGGACCACCAGUGGCGAAGGCGUCUUACCAGAACGGGUCCGACGGUGAGGGACGAAAGCUGGGGGCACGAACCGGAUUAGAUACCCGGGUAGUCCCAGCCGUAAACGAUGUUCGCUAGGUGUCAGGGACGGUGCGACCGUUUCUGGUGCCGUAGGGAAGCCGUGAAGCGAACCACCUGGGAAGUACGGCCACAAGGCUGAAAUUUUAAGGAAUUGGCGGGGGAGCAC
rnacentral:rRNA from 1 species